ensembl:lncRNA
GACAAUUUUUUCCCUUGGGUCUCGGGAGGAUAGGCAAACAAUGACCAACUUCUUAUUUAAACAAGAUUAUAUAACUGGAAUAUUGCCAUAGUGAUGAUAGUUUAUGAAGUCAUAUGGGCGUGGAUGUCCCACCCCUUUUUGCUCUUUUUAAAACACAGCCUUAUCUGCUGGUGGCAUAUUUUGGAACACCAGAUCAUCCAGACUUAACUUGGAAACACAUCCAUGAUGAAGAAGGCAGUGCUCGUGUGUUUUGCCCUGAUUGUGGUCAUUUCCGUGACCAAUGCCGCUGAAUGCAUAAGACAGAAGCAGAGCUUGGUGGCUUGUUAUGAUGCUGUAGAUAAGAAAACGUACGCAAAGGGAGUGAGAUGGGUUAACAGCGCAUGCCAGUUUUGCAAAUGCGACUUUGGAACUUCCGUCUGCUGUCCAGGAAUACGAGAUGGAUCCGGACAGUGCCAGCGUGUGAGCUGAGCGUGCCAGCAUGAGAAAAUGAAUCUGGAGAAUUACAGUGACAGAUCGGAGUCACUGUGUGGAUAAAUUUCGAUUAAUCAAUUAACAAUAAAGCAUUACUGAAGCAUUCAAUUUGUCUGUUUGUUUGUUCAUUUGUAAACGUGACUAAACACGUGGAAAAGAAAGUGUUCACGGGGCAGCAACCACCUAGAAUUUAUUAAGAAAAUGAAGGAAAAAGCUAAGGAUAUGACGGGAAAAGAAAGACAAUCAUGAAAAGGACAACAUUCUACAGCAAGUAAGAGAGCGGAAAUAAAGAAAUAUGAACAGAAUAAACUAAGUCAAUAAUUUGGAUGAACCCUUUUUCUUCCCUCAAUAUGGCACCGUAUCUCGUGGGAUGCGCACACUGUAAAUGUGCUAAAUAACAGCAUGAACAACAUGUGACGGUUGUUUUCCUUCUUCAACACAAUUUAAGACAAUACUUACAAUUAUUAUUAGCAAUUUUUUUUUUUUUACUGAGGAAAAGUAAGUGUACAUACCCUGUCUGGUUCUCUAUGCUCUUCAUAUAGUACCUAAUACCUACAACGAUUUAGCUCUAUUUCCCUCGUGUCUACACGCGUAAUU